rnacentral:lncRNA from 1 species
GGACCAGCCCUGCCCAGCCCCAUGUUGAAGAACACCAUCAGAGUGGGAGUGGUUUCCCCUGCAGCACUGAGUGAGACACUGGUAUGAAGCCAGGGGAAUGUAACAUUAAUUAUGAUUAUUAAUUAAUGCCUUAUUUUACAGUGCCCCCAUGUGCACUGAGUGCCUUCCAGCACCGGGCCCUCCCUGAGGACGUUCCUCCGGGCACUGCUCAGGUCUCAGGCAGGGAUAGGGUCAGGGGCAGCAGCACGGCUCAGCGUGGCUUCGGCCCAGCACCGCAUGGCACACUUGGAUUCAGCCCAGUUUGGCCUGGCCCAGCUCAGCCCAAUACAACAUGGCACGGCUGGGCACGGCUCGGCGCGGUCCCGCACACCUUGACUCGCUUUAGCCCAGCCUGGCUGGGCGCUGUGCGUCCUGCACUGCCCCGACCCGAUGCGGUCCAGCCUGGCACGGCUCAGCUCGGUUUGGCCCCGCAUCAACAACCCGGCGCUCGGAGCGAGCACGGCGCGGCUCGGCACGGCCCGGCACGGCUGGACGCCUCCAGGCUCCAACCGCAUCGGCAGCGCCUCGGGGCCGCUCCAUCCCCACCCCCGUCCCCGUCCCCGUCCCGUCCCCACCCCACCCCAUAGGUGCGGACGGGCAUUAGGACCGCACGCGGCCGCCGGGCGGUUCAGCUCCGCUUUGCGGCAGUGGAGGCGGUGGCGGCGGAGCGCUGCGGGAGGGGCCCCGCCGGGCGGUUCGGCUCCGCUCGGCCCCGCUCGGCCCCGCACCGCCCCGCACCGCCCCGCAGCGCUCCGCCGGGCCCCGCAGCGCCCCAGGUAACCUACUUCCACCGCCUCCGCCGCCGCCGCCGAGCGUGACUCCGUGCAGCGGAGAGGUUUGGGGCGGACGCGUUCCCCCCGCUUCGCCGCCGCCGUCACCGGGGACCCACACGGGGGCUGGCUGACCCCUCCCGGAGCCCUCCUCGGAGCCGGAGCGCAGCGGCGGCGGUGGUGGUGGUGGCAGCGGGGCCCCUCACGGUGCCAAGCCCCCCCCCCCCGUGCCCCCCCUCGGCACCAUGCCCUCCAGCGGAGCCCUCGACGCCAGCAGCCCCGCGCCGGACCGCGAGGCGCAUGACACGCACAAGGUACGGCCCCGUUCUGGGAUUGGGGGGGACCCCAUAGCUGCGCUCCCCCCCGGAGCACAGUGGCAGCAGGGAGGGGGGAGCGAGGCUGAGCUGCACGGGGAUUAGUAGGGAUUGAGCUAUUUCUGGCAGUGGGGGCAGUGGGGAGGGGGCAUCGCGCCGGCUGCUGCUGCGGGGACACGGGGUGACCCCUGCCGUGGGGCUGGGUUGGGGGUAUGGGAUGGGAAGGGGUAUCCCCCACCAGCCUCUUCACGGUGGGUCACAGUGACAACCCAACAGCUGUCCCCAUCCCAGCGUGGCACACACAGCCCCUGAGCUCAGUGGCAGUCCUGGGUUGCCCCCCACCAGCCUCUUCGUGUCCUCAUGACGUGAGGACAAACCCAAAGCCAAGUGCCCACUCUCUUAACUAGAAGGCAUCACCCUUUCCUUGGGGAGGAUUGUCCCUGGCGCGCAGGGGACACGGCAUGGCCCGGUCACGGCGUGGGGACUGGGGACGCUGCCAGCUGGAUGCCAGCCCACCAUGGGCAGCACGGGGAUGGGGUCAUGCAGGUUUCUCCAGGCCAUGUCAGUCCCUGUGCCCAUCAGCUGGGGGCCACGCCAGUGCAGGACACGGCACAGGGGGCACACUGGGGUCUCUAUCCCCUUCUGGGACAUAUAUGGUGUGGUGCUCCACGGCACACGCCUUGCUGUGCCCACAGCUGUCUCUCAUCCCAUAGGGAUGGCAGAGGUGCAACAGGACUCUGUCUCAUGAGCUGGACCCCACAGGGGCUCCAGUGCCUGGGAUCCCCAACAGGGUCCCACUGCCUGGGGUGCAGUGCCUGGGGUCCUGGUGCCUGGGGUCCCGUGCCCAUUGCCAGUGCCUGCGGUAUGGUGCUUGGAGUCUCAGUGCCUGGGGUCCUGGUGCCUGGGUCUGGACAUCACCUCACCACACUGCGCUGUCCCAGCCUGACCCCACUGGGACGUGUCAUUACACACCGAGUCACCCCUGCAGUAGGGAAAUAUGCUCCCUUCACUGCGGGUCACACUGAUGACAACAGCUGAACACGGGGGUCCCAGCACCCAGCCCCAUGCCCACAGCCCUGCUGCAGUCAGGAGUAAGGACCUGGCAUCGGGCGCGGCGCCGGCACUGCGUCAUGCAGCAGCAGCAGCAGCAGCUCACAGCUCGCAGCUCUCCCCUCGGAGGUGGUUUCCCUCUGGGUUGUUGCUUGGCAGCAGUGGUGCUGCGGGGACGCGCCAGGCUCUUUGGCAAGCCCCAGGGAGCAGAGGCACGGGGUGAUUUAUGGGGAGGUGACUCAGCUCCCAGCAAGGGGCUGCAACAUUAUCGGGGGGGGGCUCGGAACUGUGGCUGCAGCCCUGUGCCUGUUUCCCUGUGCCACGUUUUGGGGGUUCCUGGUGGUGUGCCCCUGCUCCGCACUGCAGGGAGGUGCUGAGCCCCAUGGAAGUGCUCUGAGGGGUGCACAUGGGAAGCAUCACCCUGCAAAGUGCCCCCAGCUCCAUCCUGCACGUGGGAUGCAUGUGGGUGCAGCACAACCUGGGGCUCAGUGCGGGGAUUGCAGAGAGCUCCCGGGGCUGCAUGGAGCUCCAGGGACUGCAUGGAGCUCUGGGGGCUGUAUAGAGCUCCGGGGGUUUGUGUGGAGCUCCAGGGGUUACACGGAGCUCCAGCGGUUGGCUGGAGCUCUGGGUUUAUGUGGAGCUCUGGGGGUUGUGUGGAGCUCUAGGCAUCUCAGAAUAUCCCCCAGCUCUCCAGUGCAUUCCAGUGCCAUGCCACCUCCUCCCUGUUCUACACACCCUUCGUGGUCCCACAUCACGUUAUGCCAAGCCGUGGCAUUCUGUGGCCCUGAGACCAGUGCCCUCAGGGCCACCAAGUCACCUCGAGCCAUGUCAUACCAUGCUACAUCAAGUGACCUUGAGCCAUGACAUGCUGUGCCACAUUGUGCCCCUGACAUCAGUGCCUCCAGGGCUACCAUGUCACCUCGAGCCAUGCCAUGCUAUCCCAAGCCAUGCCAUGCUGUGGACCUGAGACGAGUGCCCCCAGGGCCACACUCAGCCGGGACACGGGAGGGAUCGCAGUAGUUGGAGUGGUUGGAGUGGAGGAGGUGCUUGGAGUGGAGGAGGCACAAAGACCCCCUCCUCAAGCACUGUGGGGCAUUUGGGGUCAGCAUGGUGCCAACAUGCCCUCUACCAGUGCGGGGGGAGCGGGCAGCACAUCUGCAGAGCUCUCCUCCCAAACACCCACCCGAAACUGGGGCCUCAUGAAGGCCAAGCCCCGAUGCCAUAAGGCCAUGCCGUGCCCCUAAUUCUCAGCCCUGGUUUCCUGGCCACGUCCCCCCCCUGCACAACCACCCUAGGCAC